rnacentral:lncRNA from 1 species
GGGAGACAAUAAACAGACACACCUGUAGUUGUUCCCAAACUUUAUUAUAGGGAAAAGUCACCUGGAGAACUUGUUUAAAUUGUGGAUUCUCCCAAAACCACCCCACCCUAGCCCCAGAAGAUCAGAUUCAGUUGAUCUGGAUGAGCCUAGGGCUCUACAUUUGCCACAAUCUCCGCAGUGAUCCUGAGGGAGGAGAAACCCCAGGGAAAAUAUGGCUAAUGAGGAUGAAAAAACAGACAAGAGGUGGAACUUCAAUGAAGAGGAAAACUCUUCCUAGCCUUGGUCGAGAGCGAGCACACUAAAACUCUGCCCUGAAAGAGGAAUUGACUCUUGAGCAGAACACAGAAACUGAUAUGGGUGAUGGACCCAACCAAAAGAGAAAGCCCCGAACUCCUGCUCAUCAGAUGGGUGAAGCAGAUGUUCCUGUCUUUCUCAAAGUCUG